UACGGGGGGGGCAAGCGUUGUUCGGAAUUACUGGGCGUAAAGGGCUCGUAGGCGGCCAACUAAGUCAGACGUGAAAUCCCCCGGCUUAACCAGGGAACUGCGUCUGAUACUGGAUGGCUUGAGUUUGGGAGAGGGAUGCGGAAUUCCUGGUGUAGCGGUGAAAUGCGCAGAUAUCAGGAAGAACACCCGUGGCGAAGGCGGCUCUCUGGGACGGUACUGACGCUGAGACGCGAAAGCGUGGGGAGCGAACAGG
rnacentral:rRNA from 1 species